CCUCAAGAAAGCGAUUCACACCAGACAUCCCAAGAAUAUUGCUGAACUGAAACAGUUCUGUAAAGAGGAAUGGUCAAGAAUUACUCCUGACCGUUGUGCACGUCUGAUCUGCAACUACAGGAAACGUUUGGUUGAAGUUAUUGCUGCCAAAGGAAGUUCAACCAGUUAUUAAAUCCAAGGGUUCACAUACUUUUUCCACCUGCACUGUGAAUGUUUACAUGGUGUGUUCAAUAAAACCAUGGCAACAUUUCAUUCUUUGUGUGUUGUU